AGGGCAGAGGCGCGAGGUUUAUGAGUAGUUACCUUGAGGAUGACAACGAUGAGAGGUAAACAAAAGGAUGCUUCGCCGAAGUGAUCAGCACAGUCAAGAUGUUGAUUGCUGGGGUUAUUCCGAAUAGGAAUAACACUGUCAUUGUAAAUCACCCCAUUUACAAUGGAGCACUACUUA
rnacentral:ncRNA from 1 species